rnacentral:rRNA from 1 species
UAGGGAAUCUUCGGCAAUGGGGGCAACCCUGACCGAGCAACGCCGCGUGAGUGAAGAAGGUUUUCGGAUCGUAAAGCUCUGUUGUAAGAGAAGAACGUGUGUGAGAGUGGAAAGUUCACACAGUGACGGUAACUUACCAGAAAGGGACGGCUAACUACGUGCCAGCAGCCGCGGUAAUACGUAGGUCCCGAGCGUUGUCCUGAUUUAUUGGGCGUAAAGCGAGCGCAGGCGGUUUAAUAAGUCUGAAGUUAAAGGCAGUGGCUUAACCAUUGUUCGCUUUGGAAACUGUUAAACUUGAGUGCAGAAGGGGAGAGUGGAAUUCCAUGUGUAGCGGUGAAAUGCGUAGAUAUAUGGAGUAACACCGGUGGCGAAAGCGGCUCUCUGGUCUGUAACUGACGCUGAGGCUCGAAAGCGUGGGGAGCAAACAGG